UACAGAGGUCCCAAGCGUUGUUCGGAUUCAUUGGGCGUAAAGGGUGUAUAGGUGGCGCCGUAAGUCGGGUGUGAAAUUUCGGAGCUUAACUCCGAAACUGCAUUCGAUACUGCGGUGCUUGAGGACUGGAGAGGAGACUGGAAUUCAUGGUGUAGCAGUGAAAUGCGUAGAUAUCAUAAGGAAGACCAGUGGCGAAGGCGGGUCUCUGGACAGUUCCUGACACUGAGACACGAAGGCCAGGGGAGCAAACGGG
rnacentral:rRNA from 1 species